rnacentral:rRNA from 1 species
AACGAACGCUGGCGGCAGGCCUAACACAUGCAAGUCGAACGGGUGCAGCAAUGCAUCAGUGGCAGACGGGUGAGUAGCACGUGGGAACCUUCCUAGGGGUACGGAACAACUCAGGGAAACUUGAGCUAAUACCGUAUACGUCCGUGAGGAGAAAGAUUUAUCGCCCUUAGACGGGCCCGCGUCGGAUUAGCUAGUUGGUGGGGUAACGGCCUACCAAGGCGACGAUCCGUAGCUGAUCUUAGAGGAUGAUCAGCCACACUGGGACUGAGACACGGCCCAGACUCCUACGGGAGGCAGCAGUGGGGAAUCUUGGACAAUGGGCGCAAGCCUGAUCCAGCCAUGCCGCGUGAGUGAAGAAGGUCUUCGGAUUGUAAAGCUCUUUUGCCAGGGACGAUAAUGACGGUACCUGGAGAAUAAGCCCCGGCAAACUUCGUGCCAGCCGCCGCCGUAA